rnacentral:misc_RNA from 1 species
UGCGGCUGGAUCCCCUCCUUUCUAAGGAUGAACUCUAUUGGCUCGGCUUGCCUUGCCUUAGCGUUCUCUUAGAACCAUCGGCGUGAGAGCUCGAUCACUCUCGCGCUUAGAUACUGGCGAAGCGCCGCCGCCUUCGUUUCUCUUUCUUGUCAUCACGCACGCUUCCAUUUGGGCCUGUAGCUCAGGUGGUUAGAGCGCACGCCUGAUAAGCGUGAGGUCGGUAGUUCAACUCUACCCAGGCCCACCACUCGCUCUGUCAUUUGGUUUGGCGAGAGUGGUCACGGUGAGCCCUGGGGAAGCGGUUUGGAACGUGGGAUCAAUUUUUGCCGGCGGGCUCUCGGGAGCGGUCCGGUAUUGGGGCCAUAGCUCAGCUGGGAGAGCGGUAGCUUUGCAAGCUUCAGGUCGUCGGUUCGAUCCCGACUGGCUCCACCAUUGAUCAGGACUGCAAGAGCAGCAGUCAUUCGAAAUGGUCUGAGUGGACCAGCCGUGCGUGGCGAAGAGAACAGGUUCCACCCAUUGGGUGGUUGAGCGCGUAACUGCGCAAAUUCAGACAUCGUGAAGAGGAAGAUAUGCCGGGACGGUGCCCAUUGGGCGCCGCUGAGUCCGCUCAGGAUCGUGUGACCGCAUGAUCAUUCGGUUUAUCUUGAAACGCUGGUCUUUCUAGCAAUGCCAAUCCGUACCGAGCGGGUGUCUUCGCGGGCGCCUGUGGGUGGGCAUUGUUAAUGAGAGAAAUCAAGUGACCUAAGGGCAUUUGGUGGAUGCCUUGGUGGUAAGAGGCGAUGAAGGACGUGGUACGCUGCGAUAAGCUACGGGGAGGUGCGAACACCCUUUGAUCCGUAGAUUU